rnacentral:rRNA from 1 species
UACGAGGGGUGCAAGCGUUGCUCGGAAUUACUGGGCGUAAAGGGAGCGUAGGCGGGUUAUCAAGUUGGGGGUGAAAGCCCGGGGCUCAACCUCGGAAUUGCCUUCAAAACUGAUAACCUGGAGUAUGGAAGAGGUAAGUGGAACUCCGAGUGUAGAGGUGAAAUUCGUAGAUAUUCGGAAGAACACCAGUGGCGAAAGGCGACUUACUGGUCCAUUACUGACGCUGAGGCUCGAAAGCGUGGGGAGCAAACAGG